rnacentral:rRNA from 1 species
AUUGAACGCUGGCGGCAUGCCUUACACAUGCAAGUCGAACGGUAACGGGCCUUCGGGUGCCGACGAGUGGCGAACGGGUGAGUAAUGCAUCGGAACGUACCUUUCAGUGGGGGAUAACGUAGCGAAAGUUACGCUAAUACCGCAUAUUCUGUGAGCAGGAAAGCAGGGGAUCGCAAGACCUUGCGCUGAUUGAGCGGCCGAUGUCAGAUUAGCUAGUUGGUGAGGUAAAGGCUCACCAAGGCGACGAUCUGUAGCGGGUCUGAGAGGAUGAUCCGCCACACUGGAACUGAGACACGGUCCAGACUCCUACGGGAGGCAGCAGUGGGGAAUUUUGGACAAUGGGGGCAACCCUGAUCCAGCCAUGCCGCGUGAGUGAAGAAGGCCUCGGUGUAAGCUCUUCGGUCCGGG